rnacentral:lncRNA from 1 species
CUGGAACCCCGGGAUGCCCCCACCAGUACAAACCAGUACGGACCAGUUUGGGUCAGUUUGGACCAGUCUGAACCAUUUUGGGUCACUUUGGACCAGUUUGGACCAGUUUGGGCCACCUUGGACCACUUAGGAUCAGUUUGGCCCAGUUUGGCCCAGUACGGACCAGUUUGGCCCAGUUGGGAUCAGUUUGGACCAGUCUGAACCAUUUUGGUUCACUUUGGACCAGAACGGACCAGUUUGAACCAGUUUGGGCCACUUUGGCCCACUUUGGACCAGUUUGGACCAGUCUGAACCAUUUUGGGCCACUUUGGCCCAGUUUGGACCAGUCUGGACCAGUUUGACCCAGUCUGAACCAGUCUGAACCAUUCUGGACCAGUUUGGCCCAGUAUCUCUGAGUUCCCUGGACCAGUCUGAACCGGUUUGGACCAGUCCAGAUCAGUUUGGGCCAGUAAUUCCCAGUUUCCCUGGACCAGUCCGGACCAGUCUGGACCAGUUUGGACCAGCUUGCUCCAGUUCCCCUGACCAGUAUCCCCCAGUCCCCUGGACCAGUUUGGCCCAGUUUGGCCCAGUUUGGACCCAGAAUUCCCAGUUCCCUGGACCGGUCCGGACCAGUUUGGACUCGCAAUUCCCAGUUCCCUGGGCCAGUUUGGACCAGUUUGGCCCAGUUUGGACCCAGAAUUCCCAGUUCCCCUGGACCAGUCCGGACCAGUUUGGACCCAGAAUUCCCAGUUCCCCUGGACCAGUCCAGACCAGUUUGGCCCAGUUUGGCCCAGUUGCCCUGGACCAGUUUGGCCCAGUUUGGACCCAGAAUUCCCAGUUCCCUGGACCAGUUUGGACCAGUUUGGACCAGUCCAGACCAGUCUGGACCAGUUUGGGCCCAGAAUUCCCAGUUCCCCUGGACCAGUCCGGACCAGUUUGGCCCAGUUUGGCCCAGUUUGGCCCAGUUCCCCUGGACCAAUCCAUUCCCAGUCCAUCCCAGUCCAUCCCAGUCCAUCCCAGUUACCGAACGCCAGGGGGGAGGGGGGGGCUGGGAUCAUUGGGAGCCCCCCCGGGACCGCCCAGGCCCCGCCCCCUUUAACA